UUUAAAAAAGAUUUUAUUUAUUUAUUAAUGAGAUGCCCAGAGAGAGAAAGAGAGGCAGAGACACAACACAGGCAGAGAGAGAAGCAGGCUCCAUGCAGGGAACCGGAUGUGGGACUCGAUCCCAGGUCUCCAGGAUCAGGCCCUGGGCUGAAGGUGGGGCUAAACCACUAAGCCACCUGGGAUGCCCUGUAUGUAGUUUUUAAUAAUGAUAAAAAUCCUAAUCAAAUCAAUUUAUGACUUGGUUACUAUUAUUUCUUGAAGGAGCAGAAAAUGGAAGACAACCAUGGUAUUAGGAAUUAUUUCAAAUGCCUCCUGGCUGUGCAAUCUGAAAGAAAAAAUAAGUUGUUUGGACAGAGCUUCAACCGGUCUUCUUAAACUAGUCAGACUGCACCAAGUUGAUUUGAGAUACUGGAUAGCAUUUCUGUCAGCUGCUUUGUCUCAGUGUGGUGGUGGGAAAGGAACUGCUCAUUAAAAGAAGAUAUUCAUAGAAUGGCUACAGCAAAUGCUAAAACAUUUCAGCUCACCUUAAACCUUAAAGAAGUUAGGGGUAAAUAAUACCUCUGGUAUUGAAGAGGCGAAUAUGUUCAGAAACCAAGGAAUCAACUUUAACAGCCCUAAAGAUCAAGCAUCCAAGGCAGCAAACACUUUCACCACUCCAGGCCACACUAUAUUGCUCACUUUUUAAAUACCUACCACCUAGUAGGUUGCCUCACACAGAAUACUUAUUAAUAUUUAUUAAUUCAAGUGUGUCAUUUUCACUGUAAGUUAUUGUUCAUUGUUUGACAGUGCCCUAUGAUGGCCUCUAGGAGGAACUUUUCUGGACUAAGUACCAUGAUUUUUACUAAUUCUUCUAAAAACC
rnacentral:lncRNA from 1 species